GGGGCAGGAGGGGGGCAGGAGGGAUGGAGGGAGGAAGGACGGAGGACGGACGGAGGGAAGGAAGGAGAGCUGCCGCCUCCCCGGCCGCCCGCACUUUUAUGCUCCCGCUGGCGAUCGACUUUUUUUUUUUUUUUUUUUCCUCUCUCUCUGCACGCUGUGCCAGUCCGAGUCAACUUUCCCUGGGACUUGCCUGUCGCGGUCGCCCCGCUCUCUGCUCUCUCUCUGUUUCCCCGCAGAGGUGACGGGGUUCAGCCCCGCUGCCGCCGCCGCCGCCGAGAGCCCGCACCGCCGAGCGCUGCCGGAGCCGGAGGAGAGCGGGAUCCUGCCCGGGUGCCACCUGCCAGGAGAGGAGGAGGCUGACGAGCGCGCUGGAGCAAUUUAUAGGCACCCAAAAGCGCAGGGGAAAGGGGAGCUGCUUUGGCAUCUCAUUCCAGCAUCUGCUCUGCUCUUCCCACUCACAGAGAGUUUGGCAUUACUCUGGCAGUGUGGGAAAUAUAUAUUUUUUUUCCUCCCCCCCCCCGCGGGCCCCCCCGCGGUCCACCCCCCCUCCCUCCACAAACGGAUGAACAGUGAAAUCGUGAGGCUCACUCACUAGCUGCAUCGUGUGAUGACAGCUCUUUCUGGAGCAGACUGAAAGGAAGAGAUCUGCCUAGCAGCCUCUGGGCACCCUUCAGGUCACCGAUCGAGAAUUAAAAGGAAGAAAAGAAAAGCUGUGCCAAGAGAGACGGGUCAGCCUCAGGCUGGAGCUGGGCCCUUGGGGUGCUGUGUUUAGUCAUCUCUAACCCGGGAGGUUUUCAUGACAUCAGGACGUGCGCAAACCUCCACUGCAACUGCCGUGUGACAUACCGGGGAGGCAGCAGUUCUUCUCCUACCCUCAAAGAGACUCAAACCAAUUGUGCUCUGUCAAGCCGUGGUGACUCUGGGUGGCACCUGAGCACUGGCUUGCCGAGCGUACCCUUACUCCGGCUACAAUAAACCUACUUCUUAAAGCAAGGUCCUGCCACGGCUACCACACUUACCUUCUUACUGCUCAGUUUUAUCCUCAUGCAUAUUGCCUGGAGUCUCUGUGCUCAUUCGCUCGAGACUUGCAGACUUUCUCUCAAAGAAGGCCCAUGAGCCAGCCACAAAAAUCGCGGUGUAAGCAAGCAGAACGGAGAGAAGAGAGUGAGCCCCUCUGCGGAGCUGUCCACGAAGACCGUGUGUUAGCUGGGAACACAGCCUGGGAUGUGCUAGACCAGUGCGUUAGUUACCAGAGCAUCCUUACACCUCAAGGAAAAAUAUUUUUUCCAAGGAAACCACGAAUGGAAAACCAAUGGGCUGAAAAGUCACGCACCGGCGGUCUCAGUGCUUUUGGAACAAAGAUAAGGAAAAGGUGGAAAUGUCUUUUCACAAUGGGACUUUAGUUUUCCUGAAGUGGCUUGCCAUAGUAACACGUCACUGUAAUUAAGGCCUGGGCACCAUUUAUGUUAUAAUGCAAUCUCCUCUCCAUGCUAAAAAUCAAGACUGGCAGUCCGUUCCCAACAAAACCACGACACCCAGGCUGGCUGCUGCGGUGAUCAGCGUUACAUUUCUUUGCACCUUGCCUUAGUCCUUCCGCCUAUGUUCUUACCUCCCCGCUCUCUUGGGGCCGUUACACAUUCAGCCCCGCAGUCGGCGUGUAAGCUGUAUCCCCUGCAGCUUCUGCCAUUUGAAACAGCCUGCCCACAGCUCCUUCCCUUACUGACUAAUUAGCUAAUGUUCCUACGGAGCCUCGAAGAUGUUACAGCGUAACAU